rnacentral:rRNA from 1 species
GAACGCUGGCGGCAGGCCUAACACAUGCAAGUCGAGCGCACCUUCGGGUGAGCGGCGGACGGGUUAGUAACGCGUGGGAACAUACCCUUUUCUACGGAAUAGCCUCGGGAAACUGAGAGUAAUACCGUAUAAGCCCUUCGGGGGAAAGAUUUAUCGGGAAAGGAUUGGCCCGCGUUAGAUUAGAUAGUUGGUGGGGUAAUGGCCUACCAAGUCUACGAUCUAUAGCUGGUUUUAGAGGAUGAUCAGCAACACUGGGACUGAGACACGGCCCAGACUCCUACGGGAGGCAGCAGUGGGGAAUCUUAGACAAUGGGCGCAAGCCUGAUCUAGCCAUGCCGCGUGUGUGAUGAAGGUCUUAGGAUCGUAAAGCACUUUCGCCAGGGAUGAUAAUGACAGUACCUGGUAAAGAAACCCCGGCUAACUCCGUGCCAGCAGCCGCGGUAAUACGGAGGGGGUUAGCGUUGUUCGGAAUUACUGGGCGUAAAGCGUACGUAGGCGGAUUGGAAAGUUGGGGGUGAAAUCCCAGGGCUCAACCCUGGAACUGCCUCCAAAACUAUCAGUCUAGAGUUCGAGAGAGGUGAGUGGAAUUCCAAGUGUAGAGGUGAAAUUCGUAGAUAUUUGGAGGAACACCAGUGGCGAAGGCGGCUCACUGGCUCGAUACUGACGCUGAGGUACGAAAGUGUGGGGAGCAAACAGGAUUAGAUACCCUGGUAGUCCACACCGUAAACGAUGAAUGCCAGUCGUCGGGCAGUAUACUGUUCGGUGACACACCUAACGGAUUAAGC